rnacentral:lncRNA from 1 species
UGCGGCUGCGGUACUGGGUACCGUACGCCUUCUACGUACUCACUGCAAUUGGAUUACUCCUAUUAGUACCAGGUGUGGCCAUAUUGACGAAGCGGAAAAUGAACUCGCCGAGUACUGAACCUAUAAUCCACUCGGAAGCGACGGUCGCCGAGACCCAGUGACGAAUAACCAAACACAUGUGUACGGUACGAACUCAAAUUAUAUAUAUUUAUAAAUUUUGUACACCUCUUAUCCACCGACGGUACCCUAAUGUAGUAAUUACCCUAAUACCAAAUAGUUAAUAAAAUACACAGAGAUGGCGCUAUUGAGGCGAUAUAUUUUUAACGUCGGUUAUUCCUAUUUCCACUUAAUUUUUUUUUAAUAUAUAUUUUUUGAUAAGAAAUCGAUAAAAAGUCGAAAGAUGACGAAGGUGAUGAAGUUUCCAUAUCCAGAUUCGAUUUUAUUAAAAA